AGGGAAUCUUCCGCAAUGGACGAAAGUCUGACGGAGCAACGCCGCGUGAGUGAUGAAGGUUUUCGGAUCGUAAAGCUCUGUUGCCAGGGAAGAACGCUUGAGAGAGUAACUGCUCUUAAGGUGACGGUACCUGAGAAGAAAGCCCCGGCUAACUACGUGCCAGCAGCCGCGGUAAUACGUAGGGGGCAAGCGUUGUCCGGAAUUAUUGGGCGUAAAGCGCGCGCAGGCGGCCAUUUAAGUCUGGUGUUUAAUCCUGGAGCUCAACUCCGGGUCGCACUGGAAACUGGGUGGCUUGAGUGCAGAAGAGGAGAGUGGAAUUCCACGUGUAGCGGUGAAAUGCGUAGAGAUGUGGAGGAACACCAGUGGCGAAGGCGACUCUCUGGGCUGUAACUGACGCUGAGGCGCGAAAGCGUGGGGAGCAAAC
rnacentral:rRNA from 1 species